rnacentral:rRNA from 1 species
CCUUUUUCGUAAUCAAAAGGUGACCUGCGGAGGAUCAUUAUUGAAAUAAACCUGAUGGGUUGUUGCUGGCUCUCUAGGGAGCAUGUGCACGCCUUGUCAUCUUUAUAUCUCCACCUGUGCACUUUUUGUAGACCUUUCAGGUCUAUGUUGCUUCAAUUUACCCCAAUGUAUGUUAAUAGAAUGUUGUGCUUAUAUAACAAAUACAACUUUCAGCAACGGAUCUCUUGGCUCUCGCAUCGAUGAAGAACGCAGCGAAAUGCGAUAAGUAAUGUGAAUUGCAGAAUUCAGUGAAUCAUCGAAUCUUUGAACGCACCUUGCGCUCCUUGGUAUUCCGAGGAGCAUGCCUGUUUGAGUGUCAUUAAUAUAUAUCAACCUUCUCACUUGUUGAGAGGUUUGGAUGUGGGGGUUUGCUGGCCCUUUUUAAAAAAGGUUCAUCUCCUCUGAAAUGCAUUAUCAGAACAAACCUUGUUCAUUGGUGUGAUAACUAUCUACGCUGUUGAAUGCGAGGGGCAGUUCAUCUUUCUAACAGUCCUCGGACAAAUUCUUCAUUAAUGUGACCUCAAAUCAGGUAGGACUACCCGCUGAACUUAAUCAUAUCAUUAAUCGGAGGAAGA